UACGUAGGGUGCAAGCGUUAAUCGGAAUUACUGGGCGUAAAGCGUGCGCAGGCGGUUCGUUGUGUCGGCGGUGAAAGCCCGGGCUUAACCUGGGAAUGGCCGUUGAAACUGGCGAACUGGAGUGUGGCAGAGGGGGUGGAAUUCCGCGUGUAGCAGUGAAAUGCGUAGAGAUGUGGAGGAACACCGAUGGCGGAAGGCAGCCCCUGGGUCAAGAUUGACGCUCGAUGCACGAAAGCGUGGGGAGCAAACAGGA
rnacentral:rRNA from 1 species